GUUUGGUUGUACAGAAGCUACCGUGUAGCCUAGACUCACCUACAACUCUUCCUGCUGCCCCUAGGAAAUACAGAAUCUAGACCAAAGAGCUUUUUGGUCUUUCUUUACUUUUCCAAGAGAGGGACUUUCACUCUUAAAAGAGACUCUUGCAUUUCUUUUUCCUGUUCAACAAGUGUGUUAUCUAGUUAUCUGUUUGUGGUGCUCAGGUCAGUUUUUGGCAGGGAGUACACCUUGAGCCCUGAAGCCUGCCUUCCUUAGGGUAUGGAUUCAGUUUAUUUCCAUUAUCUGCUUAAUCAGGAACCUGCGUGGUGGUGCCUAGACGGCUUUUCACCUCAGUCCUUGUUUGCCGUAUGGAGGUUGUUGUUAACAACUAUCCUCUCCCUCAUACUCUUCUUGUCAGACGUAAUUGUUGAAUAGUUGAUGAGAAUAUACUUUUAUAAUAAUUUUUUGUGGAUUGGAAGUCCGCGCAGUCAUCGACAAAGCAUCUGAACAGUUGUAAAAUGUUCACUUUGCGGCAUUUUCGCGUUCCUAAUGUCCUUUUAAAGAGGGAGAGUCAGCUUUCAGUAUAUGCAGUGAGUUUGCCAUCCCUGGUUACUAUGAAAAGAAGAUUGAGGAGGUUUCACUGCUAUAUCCAGAUUUGCUUAAAACAGUCUAUUUCUGAUUUUAGGAAGACGGAGACUGCCGUCUGAAGUUGGAAUAAUAAUUUGUGCUAUCACUAAUCCAGCCUCCCUUGAUGAAAUGGCUGAACAGGCAGUGGCGGUCCUCAAUUGUGUCAGACCAGAGUUUGGGUUUCUAAUACCACACGUUGAGUGAUGUGUCUGUGCUGUUAUCUUCAACCACCAUCCCAUUGAAAAUCCUCCAGGAGAGCCCAGUCCUGCCGAAAAGAUCACAUUCAGUCUUGAGAGCAUGAUACACAGGGUCGUUCCGGAUCUGGCCCACGCUCCACUCUGGCCUACUCUCUGGUUCGGGUAUCCUGACCAGACCAGCCCUCUUUUUUUUUUUUUUUGCACUUUUACAAACAGUUUUUCCUUUAUUUGGAUUUUCUUUUCCCUGGAAAAUCCUACUGUUCUUCUGAAUUCAACUCCCAUCAUCUCUUCUCUAAAACGUCGGUGCGUUUUCAGUUGGAGGUGGCCAGUUUCUUAUUGCAGAGAACUCAACAGUUAUUCCAUUCCUUUCCUGGGAGCAGAUGUGUCUGUUGUGAAGCAGACUCAGCGUUACUUGCGUGAAAAUUUAGAGCAGUCACCUGUUCAGUAUGCUGCUUAUGUAACUAUGGGAGGCGUCACCUCUAUUAUUAAGACAAUGUUUGCUGGACUUUUUUUUAUUAUUCUUUGUGAGGUUUGGCAUUGGAAGGCAACUUCUUGUAAAGUUCCCAUGGCUCUUUUCCUUUUUGGUUAUUUUUCAAAGCAAGGUCCAACACAAAAACAGGUGGAGUGGGGAACACACACCUCGUUCCUGUCUUCAAGCAACCUAGGAUCUAUUCUGCAGACAAAACAUGGAUCCAUCCAAAAGAAACACACGACAAUGUUGUGGAGGCCAGUGGGAGUGAGAAGACCGAAGAGGAGGCCCCAGCCAGGGAAAAUGAGGAGGAGGAAGGCUCGCCCAAUAACAAGGUGGAGGAGGAGGCCACAACAAGUGGAAAUAACCAGGAGGAGUCCCCAGCCAGCGACAGGGCCGAGCAAGAAGCCCAGACUGCCCCCAAGGUGGAUGGGAUGGAUGAUGAAAGCCCAACCCUCGAUGAUGUUGUGGAGGCCGGCGGGAGUGAGAAGACCUAGGUUGAGGCCCUGGCUGGGGCAAAUGAGGAGGAGGCGGGGCCGGGAACUGAGAAGGUGCAGGAGGAGGCUGCCUGCAUUGACGAGGCAGAAGAGGAGGCGGGCCCAUCCCUUGAAAAUGACGAGGAGUCCCCAGCCAGCGACCUGGUUGAGCAGGACGACCAGCUUGUCCCCAAGGUGGACGGGAUGGACGAUGAAAGCCGCUGUUCAGAGAAAGCUUGGCUUCUUUUCAAAUGCUGAAACAAUCUCAGAGGCAUCAGAGAUGUCAAGAGUGGUGAUAAUUGUGCUGUGCAGGUCACUGUGUUGGUUCUGCUUCUUUAGCAAGAUUGGAUUUUAUUGACCCAGACACAGUGGGAGUCCAUGCAGUCAUCAUGAUUUCUAAUUUAAAGAUAGAAAAAACAGGAAUCCUCAUUGUCUGAUUUGCACCUCCAGGUCCUGAAAGUGAUAAGAGAAAGUCUGGGCCCCUUCCUUGGCACAUGGCUCAUUGCAGCAAAGACAAACAGCCCCUGAAGUCAUUGGACUCCUUUAAUCAUAUCUGUGAAGUAGGGCCUGAGGAUCCCAGGAUCUCUGGUUUGGACAGCACUGGAGGGGGCAUCAAUGGCAGCUGUUGAGGCAGUGCACAAGCCCAAAGCACAACUUUUGAAUUCUACUCCCAGACGUGUUCUUCCCAUUUCUGUACAGAUGGCAUCUUCAGUGUGGAGGCCGUUUCAGCAUCUCCAUUGCCUUGGUGAGUUCAGCUUGAUGGUCAGCUUCCAUCUCCAUGUUGUAUUGCCUCAUGGUCACUCAAGGGGGCACCACUGUCAUAAAGUCAUCUGAUGUUACCACUUGUAAGAGCUGGGAGUAUGGGGUGACUGUUUCCUUAUCUCAGUCUUGGGAACUAGCUAUUGACUGUUAGUGUGAUGCUUUGUGAGUCCAUUGCCUUGAGGCC